rnacentral:rRNA from 1 species
AUUGAACGCUGGCGGCAGGCCUAACACAUGCAAGUCGAACGGUAACAGGAAGAAGCUUGCUUCUCUGCUGACGAGUGGCGGACGGGUGAGGAAUGUCUGGGAAACUGCCUGAUGGAGGGGGAUAACUACUGGAAACGGUAGCUAAUACCGCAUAACGUCGCAAGACCAAAAAGGGGGACCUUCGGGCCUCUUGCCAUCGGAUGUGCCCAGAUGGGAUUAGCUAGUAGGUGGGGUAACGGCUCACCUAGGCGACGACCCCUAGCUGGUCUGAGAGGAUGACCAGCCACACUGGAACUGAGACACGGUCCAGACUCCUACGGGAGGCAGCAGUGGGGAAUAUUGCACAAUGGGCGCAAGCCUGAUGCAGCCAUGCCGCGUGUAUGAAGAAGGCCUUCGGGUUGUAAAGUACUUUCAGCGGGGAGGAAGGGAGUAAAGUUAAUACCUUUGCUCAUUGACGUUACCCGCAGAAGAAGCACCGGCUAACUCCGUG